rnacentral:rRNA from 1 species
AGCAGCCGCGGUAAAUUCCAGCUCCAAUAGCGUAUAUUAAAGUUGUUGCAGUUAAAAAGCUCGUAGUUGAAUUUUGGGUUUGGCCGGUUGGUCCGUUCUUGUAACGAGUACUGGUCGGUUGGGCCUCACCGCUUGGGGAAGGGUAAUGCCCUUUAUUGGGUGUUGCUCGGAGCCAAGACCUUUACCUUGAAAAAAUUAGAGUGUUUAAAGCAGGCAUAUGCCAGAAUACAUUAGCAUGGAAUAAUAGAAUAGGACAACGAUUCUAUUUUGUUGGUUUCUAGGACCGUUGUAAUGAUUAAUAGGGAUAGUUGGGGGCAUUAGUAUUCAAUUGUCAGAGGUGAAAUUCUUGGAUUUAUUGAAGACUAACUACUGCGAAAGCAUUUGCCAAGGAUGUUUU